UAUAUAUAUAUGAAUACACACACAUAGGUGUGCUUCUAGAAAAUACAGACGCUGGAGUUAAAUGUUUAUGGAGCCUGGGGGGACCCCGCAGGAGAAUUUUCUGAGUAAAUACUUCACAGAGGCAGAGCUGAGCACAAGAAAUGUGGCUUUGAAACCAGAUAGUCUUGCCUGUUACUCUCUCUGAGACUUGCCAAGGUCACACGCUACGGCAUGUGGGAUCUUAGUUCCCUGACCGGGGAUCAAACCCCUGCCCCCCGCAGCGGAAGCGCAGAGCCUUAACCACUGGACCACCAGGGAAGCCCCUGUCUUGUUUCCUGUAAAAGGGCACAGACGAGCAUCCCCACUAACCGACAUUUCUGAUUAAAAGGUCUUGGAGAUGCUUGCUUCAGUUCCUGGAAAUGCACACCUGAAUCUAGAAGGAGCAGCUGUCUCAGUCAAGACCCACAGGGAUCCGCUUGGAGCCACGGACAACAGGCCAGCACCUUCCUCCUGCCAGCUUACCAGACAUCCCAGAUUUUCUCUGCAAGUGGUCCAUGGCUAACCUCAGUCUCUCAUGUUUUUGCUGAGAAGCAGAACAUGUGUUACGUGAAUGUUUAGUUUAUGAGAGAGAUAGCAGAAAACAUCUCUUUUCUGCCCUCAAGUAGUGGAAUUAUGACUAUGUUUUUAUUUCCAUCCAAAAAUUCACAUAACAUUAAAAAGGAAAUGUAACAUAGUAAUUGAAACAAAUUGGAAAUUUCUAUGGCCAUAACAUUUAUGAGUUCAAAUUUCAUGUGAGCACAUGGAAAUAGUUAGUGAGCAUACGUUGGCAACAUCCAAAUUACACCUAAUAAAAUGGC